UCCGGUUUGUCACCGGCAGUCCCAUUAGAGUGCCCAACUGAAUGUGGCAACUAAUGGCAAGGGUUGCGCUCGUUGCGGGACUUAACCCAACAUCUCACGACACGAGCUGACGACAGCCAUGCACCACCUGUAUACCGACCACGAGGGGGGCCGUAUCUCUACGGCUUUCCGGUAUAUGUCAAACCCAGGUAAGGUUCUUCGCGUUGCAUCGAAUUAAUCCACAUGCUCCGCCGCUUGUGCAGGCCCCCGUCAAUUUCUUUGAGUUUUAACCUUGCGACCGUACUCCCCAGGCGGAUGACUUAACGCGUUAGCUGCGCCACCGAAACUCCAUGAGCCCCGACAGCUAGUCAUCAUCGUUUACGGCGUGGACUAC
rnacentral:misc_RNA from 1 species